GACACUUUUAUUGAGGCAAAGUAGCCACACAAGAUUUGCAACUCUGACUAUUCUUGUCCGCAGCAGCUAAAUUGUUUCUCUCUCUCUCUCGCUCGCUUUCUCGCUCUCGCUCACAAUGAUUAGUGUUAGGACUGACAGAGUGCAGCAGUCCUGCCCUACCCCGGCCAGAACAGUAGUCUGGAAUACUGAGAGAUUCUUCUUUCAGCAACCUAAAAAGCAGCCAAUCGCAGCACUCUAGCCCUGGGGCUGGCCUCAGCCAGCCAAUAGGAGGAGCUUCUUUCUGUCACCUGACAGAAUGUGCCCCUGUCCAUCAACCGAGUCAUAUAUAGCCCGUUCCAGCAGCCUGAGACAAGGCUGUGAGUGUGUGUGGGACCGGCUGAGGACUCUGUGUACCUACAGUUUGCUUUGUAACUGACUGCGUGUGCUUGCGUGUGGGUUCGGGAGCAAAUGCAGGGGGGGCGAACGAGUGUGAGAGAGGGAGAGAAAGAUGAGAGAGGGAAAAAAAUGUACGGAGGAAAGCCUGAUUAUUCUGGAAGUUUACUCAUAUUGCACUCAAGAAGGGACUUAAGAUUUUGGAAGCUACUUUUUGAUAGGAAAAAAAAAUUUUUGGUCACUAAAAUCGUUAUUCUCAAAACAGCAAGUGGGCUCUGGUGACCUUACAGUGAGGGAAUGCCUCAUGAGUUUGACUGAUGAAGAUACACACUGAUGGAGAAGUGAAAGUCGUUUGGCUCUGACUCCGAACAAUGAGCUCCGACAGACAGCCGCCAUCAUGGAAAUGUCACGGCCAACAUCAGAGACCCGGCAGCCUCCUCUUUCAUUCCCUUAAUCCACAAUCCCUCCUCUCCUCUCCUGAGCGGUAUACAUAUUCAGCAGCUCAAGUCCUCACCAUUCUAAUGAGGGCUAGACCAGCGGGCUAUGAAAGAGAGGAGAGAUACGGGGAGGUGGGUGGGUGAGUGGGGGGUUUAAAAGAGAGGAGAGACCGUCUUUGAACUCUCAAAGAAAGAGAGAGACGGAUGAGAGAUGAGGAUGAAUAGAUGGAUGGCUGAAGUGAUGAGAGAAGGAGUGAGAAGAGAGACAGAUCAAAUGCUUCUGAUUCUUUCCUGUGGUCUUUACACAGCAGGGUUAGUUGUGUUCGAUUUAAAUGAUGCUUUAAGAGAGUGUCCUGUUAUAUUUCAUCACUUGAUUCACUUGAGACACUUAAGGCUGAAGUGUGUCUUUAUGUUUGAUCUAUUCCAGUUUAAAGGGAUCCUUCACCCAAAAUGACAGUUCUAUCAUCCUUCAUGUUGUUCCAAACCUGUAUGACUUAAUUUGUUCUAAAAGUUGUUGAGCAGAACAUUCACGCCACGCUGUUCUGUACUUACAGUAUGUGACCAUAGAUUAGGAAUGACAUAAGGGUGAUUUUAUUUUUCAACAAAUAUGUCACUUGAGACACUUAUAGUUUAAAGCAGGUAUUUUGGUUUGUCAGACCAAUGGCAGACGAGGAGAGUUUGGAAAGAAUAUUUUUGCAGUUUCCUUUGGCACAAGUACGAGAAAAACGAGACAAACCAAUGAAAAAAAAGAAAGCAAUAACUUUAGAAGUUAAAUAAUAUUCUGAAAUGAUUUACAUUAAUGGAUUUAACAGAUGCUAUUAUCCAAACCGACUUAGAAAAGAGAGCAAAUGCAAUACAUCAAAGACUGAUUCCAAAUUAUAGGAGUAUUUUAGAAACAAAAUUAUUUAUUAUAUAAUUUGUAUAUAUUUAAAAAUAUCAUAUUUAUUCAAAACUGUGGUAUAAUAUCUGCAGUCAUACUGGCUAUAAAUAUAUACAUUUUCGGCAAUCAGUAUCAUCUAAAAUUUCAAUAUCAGUGUAUUCCUAGUUCAAAGCCUCAAAAAGGAGACAUGUUUAGCUGCAGCUAAAGCAGUCUGUGGGCAUAUCUGCUCAAAUGAAUGCUGCAGUGGUGUGAAAUUGGUCAUUUUCAGCACUCCUACACUCUUGUAAAAGUGGAAGAGGGUGCCUGAGGUCUAUUUUCCCCUCUUCACACACAGCUAGCAGCGGGAGGCAGGAAGUGCGGCCUGAAAGACUCGCUGGUUGCGCUAUCAGAAGGGGAAGUUCCCAUUCCCAUUCGCCGCUUUACAAACCAGAUGCUUCAUGGCCCGGAUCUGGUUAUUGGAAUGGAGCGAUAGUGCCAAAUGUACAGCGAGUGCACUUCAGUCCGACGCUGUAAGCAAGCGUGCUUCAGAUGAAUGAGGGAAAUCAGGAUCGUGUGCUAAUGUGUUUGCAUUUUUAAUAGAGGAUAGAGAGACUACCAUGCAUUCGCUUGCUGUUGAUGGAGGCUUUUCAAACACGUGCAACCAGUCCACUUGUCGUCCAUUGUUGGUGCGUGAGCAGGUGUGUUCAGAGUCUGCUCUGGGGUUCACCAAGGCUGGGGGUUUCAGCUGCUCUCAAACACACACAUAUUCAGGCCACCAGCCAUUAAACCGUUCCACUUAGCUGAAACCAGGUGUAUUAACCCAACACUAGAGUGCUUAGUUUCAGUAAAGACCUAGUUUAAGUCAGUAUCUGAAUGGUAUUCGUUAAUACAGCUAGGGUUGCAUGAUUAUCGGGAGGGGGAAAUUCACAUUUAUGACUUCUGUCAUACUGUAAUCAAUCAUAGAUUUUGUAGUUGUAUUAAUUAGCUUUUACUGAAUUAGUUUAAUGAAAUUAAACAGAAAGCAAGAAAUGUAACAAUACUGCAAUCACGUGCAAGUUUACAGUCUUAUGUGACUUUGAACUAAUAUGAUACUGUACAUUGUACAUCAAAAUGAGCCAUAUACUUUUAAUAUUGGAGGGACAGUUAAUUAAUUUACCUUUAUCCUCUUAUCUUUAAUUUCAUGUUGUAUUUUUGGUACCCUUGUGAAAAUACAUUAGUAUACUUUUAAAAAGAGUACUAUUUUGAAAAUAAUGUACUCAAGUGCAUCUAAAUGUAUUGUUUUGGACACUUACUUGCAAUUAGAUGAAAAUGUAUCCUUUUGUUACACCACUUAAGUACGACUUAAGUACAUCUUUAUAUUUAAAUUUCAUAAGUACUCCCAAAAUUUUAUUACAAAGUGCACUUUUUAAAAGUUUACUUGUGUGUUAAGAAAUAUAGUCAUGAAAGCAAGCUCUCUUUUAAGUACACUCAACUGGCUUUUUGUUUCAUUAAUAUUAUCUGUAAGUACAGUUUUUUUUUUUUUUUUUUUUUUUUUUUAUAUAUACAUUUAAGAUUUUAAGUACACUACAAGUGCAAAACCAAUAGAAUUAAGAGCAAUUCUUUUUUUCAAAAGGUUAGGGACGCACUAAUAUUAAAAUUCUGCUCGAUACUGAUGAGCUAGUAAUUAUUUUCAUGUUAUAGCUGAUAACGAUAAAACCAUUUUGACUAAAUAAAUCACACACACACACAAAAAAUCAAUGCUGCAAGUGAAUUUAUGCAUCACAACAGUACAAUAUAGUUAUAUUCUAUAUGAAGUAUAUUUAACCUGUUAUUAAAUUAUUAAUGUUUUCGAAGAGUUAUUUUAAAUGAGUGUUAGAUGAAGGCAAUCUAAAUGUAAAAAUAAGAGAAUGCACAAUUAAAUAUACAAUGUUGGUUGUUAUAUACACAAUAACAAUGAUUUUUUAUUAAUUUUUUUUUUACAAAAAAUUAGUAACAUAUCCAACAAUAAUUGUCUCCAGAAGUACCCCCUUUUGAAGACUCCUGUGCUCAACAGGCAUGUCUGUGACUGCUAAAAGCCAUUCCAGCUAAAAACGCUUAAUUGCAGCCGUAAUCGUAACCUUGACUAUUUGAUUAGUUCUGCAGCCUUAAACGUUUCCUUCCUUAAACAUUUUCUUUCUUUAUGCCAUAAAAUGAUGUCAAAUGCCCAUCCAUACGAACCGCGCAGAGUUACACUCUCUUUUCAUUUUUCAUACCUCGCAUGAUAUUCUAAUCAGGGAUUUUUUAAAUCCCCCAACAUACACAGCCCUCUUGAUUUCUGUGCCAGAGAAGCGAGUGGGGGGGGGGGGAUUGGAGAAAAAAAGACAGCAUAUAGUGCCUUUAAAAGUCACUGGGAUUGGUUGUGUAGUUUGGAGCAGUCAAAUGGGAGCGUGCAUUAAUAAUGCAUGCCUGCCUCAAAGAGCUCUCACACAGGAAACACAGAUUGGGGGUUCAGAUCAGGGUAAAGAGAACAGGCCUGGAGAGAGAGACAGCGAAAAAGAGGGCGAGAUCGAGAGAGACAUUAAAAGAACAGUAAAAGCCAGGAAUCGCUCAGGUUUAUUGGGUUUUAACCUCACAAUUGUAUUUAGUCUCAUGUUGUGAUGUGUUUGUCGUAUUCUAGUCUUCAGAUUUUCUUAAAGACCCCAUGAAACUGUUUAAUGAAUGCCACUUUUAGUCAUGUGUUGAUGUAUUUCCAGUUGAAAUGGGAAGUUUGGAUGAGAGACGUUAAAUAUUUUACUUGCCAGUCAGUUGCAUGUGGUAUUAGGGGCGGGGCAUUCGCAUUCUAAAGAGCAUCUGAUUGGACCAAAAUCUUUGUAGUGCAGGAUGAGUCAUCAUCAUUCAACUUGUUUGUAAACUAGCCUACAAACGCAAUAAACAUGAUUACAAGUCACAGAAACAAUAUCAUGGGGUGUUUAAAAAGCAACAUCGUUGUGUUUUUAGUUUUCCAAGCAAUGCUGUCCAACUAUUUUUUGAAUAUCUUGUUUAUUUAGUUUCACAAUUUCAUGUUGACUUUAAUUCCAUUCCAACUUCAAGUAAAACUUCUGAUCAGCUUUCUACCAAAACGCACCUGGUGCUUUUACAGUAGGUCUACAUUAAAAGGCCCAUUGUCCUACAAGAUUUGCUGGUCCCUUGGUGAACAUUCAACGCUGUCGGUGAGUUUUGAGCUUCUGUAACAAACCAUCGACCGUUGACUGUACCCUGAGGGUGGCCAAAAAAACGACGUAAGCGGAGCAAUCUAGAAACAGAUCUGGAAAGAGCAGUAUGGGUGUAUUAGCCCAAUAAUGACUGCAAUAAACAUUCAUUGCUGUCGGUGGGUUUCCAAUGGACACAACUCACUGAUCAAUGAAUGCAAACUGCGGUGCAAGAACCUCAGUCAAAAAUGGCAGGAGGAGUGAAGGGAUUUCUGGUAAGAGUCAUUUGUACAGUGUUAUAAGGAGAGCAGCACACCAGCGAAGACUAAAGGGGAAAGGUAAGUCUACUUACUAAGUAAGUCUACUUUGUAUAUGAUAAUAACAAGAUAUUUCUGAUGCUACUCAUCACAGAUGAAAGAUAGAAAUUCUACUAUAUAAUCGAUAUUAGACAAACAGGAGUGCUAUUGUAAUGAAUACCAGCACGGCUGAGUUUCAGCUGUAGACAAGAAGCCGCAGGCUGUGCUUCAGGAUUGCUCCGAGCAAACACAUAUACUCCAGUUUUCCAAAAACCUUGCUUUGCCUGAGGCAAAAUCCCACCAAUGCACUCCCUGUUCAACUUCUGCUCCACACCACUCACAUAUUCUGGUCUGGAUCAUUGUGAACAUGGAUAAAUGGAGUGAUACAAACACUGAAAACUGGAAAUUGCAUUCCAAGUGUUUAAAAUCAUUUGAGAUGCCUCAGGAACCACACAUGAACACCCUUGCACUGACCCACAAUGCCCUUGCAAACAAACUUCACUUGCAUCCUCUUCACAAAAUGCAAAACAUGAGAUUGAGGUGCUCAUUCAAGAAAAACAUAUUCAGGUCUGGCUUGCAACAUUUCCUGAUACAGAUACCCCUCAUCAACAGGGUUAUUAUCGUUACCUAAAACUAUUUAAAACAUUUGUGUCAAUUAAAAUGAAAAUUAAUAUUACA